UUUGACUGUCAUAUCGAUUUUCGCGCCCGAUGCUAAUCUUUUUUUAAUGGGCGACGACGAUUACAACUCUGCUCAAUUGGUCGUUGGCAAGUGCUCAAUAUUUUGUAUACCGCGAAAAGCUGUUUACGAAGAGCUUUGAUUAACUAUUUGACGAGUCAACUGCUGUCUCCUGGAGAAUUAACGAUUCAGUGGAUACCACCAGGAUUGGCAUUACAUCCAUGACAAUGAAGCUGUGACUGCAACCAGGACUACAAACGGUCAGUCGUCUGGUGUGAACGGAGUGUGGGAGUGCCAAUCAACUUGGUGAAUAUCUGAAACUAGUUUUCCAUUUCGGUUUAUCGAGCGUGUGUCUAGGCUCUGGUUUCUCUAUGUAUACUGGCCCCACCAUCGCCAUGAUGUACAGGAAUAAAAAGGGAAGGAGGGAUCUCGCUGUGAUGAAUUAGACCCUCGUUCCGGGUUAUAACUUUUUAUCCCAAUGAAACUUGCCACUCCAAUUGAUUUGAAACAUUUCGAAUCACCCACCAAAACUUUGAGACUGCUGCUGCCUGUUUUUUUUUUUGUUUUUUUUUUAAUUUCGAGUUUUAAAUUCAAUUUAUUCGUGGCAACUUUCCUACCCCCGGUUUUCCGUGACUGUCAGCCAAGAUCUUUUUGGAUUGUUACUACCCGUCACCGAGGAGAUGUAGACACACGAUGUCUCUCAUUUCCGGUCGCA